AUGGCGCGGUUCCCGGCUGACCUCUUGCGGCAGGGCUGCGCGCCCUCCCACGACGCCGCCGCCGCCCACGUCCGGGGCCUGGUCGCCCUCCUCCUGAGGCACCAGGCGGAGAGGCGCCCGCUCCUCCAGAUCCACGCCCAGCUCGUUGCCCGCCAGGUGUUCGAUCGCCGUCCCACGCCCUGGCACGCGCUCCUCAAGGCCUACUCCCGCGGCCCUCUCCCCCAGGAGGCCCUGAGCCUCUUCAGGGACGCGCGCCGGCACGCGGCCGACGACACCUACGCCUUCGUGCACGCCCUCGGGGCCUGCGCGGCCCUGGCGUGGCCGCGGGCCGGCGCGCAGCUGCACGGGCUCGCCGUCCGCAAGGGGUUCGAGAUCCACGCCUACGUGCAUACCGCCCUUGUCAACGCAUAUGUCGUGUGCGGGUGCCUGGCGGAUGCUCGGAUUGCGUUCGAGGAGAUGCCGGCGAAGAAUGCGGUUACUUGGAACGUGGUGAUCACCGGGUUUGCUGCGCGGGGCGAGGUUGAGUACGCGAGGCUGCUCUUUGAGCGGAUGCCCUGUAGGAAUGUUGUCUCGUGGACCGGGAUGAUUGAUGGGUACACACGCUCCUGUCGGUCUGUGGAGGCCGUUGCUCUCUUUCGCCGCAUGAUGGCUGAAGGCGUUGAUCCAAGCGAGAUAACUGUUUUAGCGGUUGUACCUGCGGUAUCAAAUAUUGGAAGGAUUCUUUUGGGCGAGGCCUUGCACGGCUAUUGUGAGAAGAAGGGUCUUCUUGUGUUGGAUAUCCGAGUUGGGAAUUCGCUCAUAGACUUGUAUGCCAAGCUUGGGUCUAUAAACAACUCACUGAAGAUUUUCCAUGAAAUGCUGGGUAGGAGAAACUUGGUGUCAUGGACAUCAAUAAUUUCAGGGCUUGCAAUGCACGGGUUGUCAACUGAGGCAGUUGAACUGUUUGCAGAGAUGAGAAGAGCUGGAAUCAGGCCUAACAGAGUCACCUUCUUAAGUGUUCUCAAUGCUUGCAACCAUGGCGGGCUGGUCGAGCAAGGAGUACUGUUUUUCAGAAGCAUGGUUUAUGAAUACAAUCUAACUCCAGAGAUCAAACAUUUUGGUUGUAUCAUAGACAUGCUAGGGAGGGCUGGACGAUUAUGUGAGGCUGAGCAAGUAAUAAGUGGUCUGCCUAUGGAGGUUAAUUCAGUUGUGUGGAGGACACUGCUGGGUUGUUGCAGUAAGUAUGGAGAAGUGGAGAUGGGGAAGAGGGCAAUGAAGAAAAUACUAGACAUUGAAAGAGAAUCUGGAGGUGAUUUUGUGGUGGUAUCCAAUAUGCUUACUGAGCUCGGUAGGUUUAGUGAUGCUGAAAGAGCACGAAAGCUAGUAGAUGAGAGAAAUGCUGUUAAGGUUCCUGGGCUUGCUUUGGUUGAUGAGAGUCAGUAA
rnacentral:rRNA from 1 species